CAGAGGGUGCGAGCGUUAAUCGGAAUUACUGGGCGUAAAGCGCGCGUAGGCGGCUUUGCAAGUCGGGUGUGAAAUCCCCAGGCUUAACCUGGGAACUGCAUUCGAGACUGCAUUGCUAGAGUAUGGGAGAGGGAAGUGGAAUUUCCGGUGUAGCGGUGAAAUGCGUAGAUAUCGGAAGGAACAUCAGUGGCGAAAGCGACUUCCUGGACCAAUACUGACGCUCAUGUGCGAAAGCGUGGGGAGCAAACAGGAUUAGAUACCCUGGUAGUCCACGCCAUAAACGAUGAGAACUGGAUGUCGGGAGGGUCUGCCUCUCGGUGUCGUAGCUAACGCGUUAAGUUCUCCGCCUGGGGAGUACGGCCGCAAGGUUG
rnacentral:rRNA from 1 species